UCAAAAACAUGUCUAUAUAGAUUCUUAAUAUAAAGUCUAACCUGCCCACUGAGUUAUUAAAGGGCUGCGGUAAUUUGACCGUGCAAAGGUAGCAUAAUCAGUAGUCUUUUAAUUGAAGGCUUGAAUGAACGGUUGGAUGAGGGAAAAACUGUCUCUCCCAUAAAUUGAAAUUUGACCUUUAAGUGAAAAGGCUUAAAUUAACUAAGGGGACGAUAAGACCCUAUAAAACUUAAUAUAAAUUAUAUUUUGUUCUUAAAUUAUAAAUAAUCAUAAUAAAAUCUAGUUUAUAUUUUGUUGGGGAGAUAUUGAUAUAAAUUGUAACUGUCUAAUCUAAAAAACAUAAUUAUUAUUAUAACGUGAUCCUUCACUGAGGAUAAAAAGAAUAAGUUACUUUAGGGAUAACAGCGUAAUUUUUUCUGAGAGUUCUUAUCGAAGAAAGUAGUUGCGACCUCGAUGUUGAAUUAAAAUUUCAGUUAGGUGUAGCCGCUUAGCUUGUGGGUCUGUUCGACCUUUAAAAUUUUACAUGAUCUGAG
rnacentral:rRNA from 1 species